rnacentral:tRNA from 1 species
GCCGACGUAGCUCAGUGGCAGAGCGGGGGACUCAUAAGCCCUAUGUCGCAGGUUCGAAUCCCGCCGUCGGCACCA